AGGGAGGAACCGGAGGUAUGUUUGACAACUGUUUGAGAAGAAGGUCCCAAAUCCCUCUCUUAAAACCUUGGGAUUGUGCUUGAGACUCAGCCCCGAUGUGUUCCGUGGUAAUUCACUCACCUGGUUUACCCACACUGUAUGCUCCCCCUACCUGCCCCUACCUUGUCAUAAGUGCUGAGGAUUGAACCCAGGGCCUCGUUGCAUGUCAGGUGCUGGGAACAUUAAAAUCUUCAUGUCUCGGGGGACAAGAAAACUAAAAGUGUUUGAAGGCAGCAAUGUGCCCAGUGUUCAUUUUCCCAACGUUGACGGUUGUGCUGUGGUUUUACUGAAGAAUGCCCCUUGAAGGGAUGCUGUGUAACCAACCAGCCACCUCAUGCUUCUGCCACUGUUGCUUCCCCACUGUGAUAGACUGUGCACCCUCAAACUGCAAGCCAAAAUAAACCCCACUGUCCUUAGUUGCUUUUUCCCAGGUAUUUUGUCACAGCAGUGCUAACAUAAGCCAAGCUUGGGAUUAGGGUCAUUAACCCUAAGAGGGAAAAAAAUGUCUGUUCAAAGAAAGAGUUAUAAACAAAUAAUAGACAUUAACAGAGUGGCUUUAAGGUAAUUUGUGUCUGUAAAGAAUAAUUCUUUCCUAAAUCUCUGCCUUAGCUUCCGUGUAUACUACCUGUAUAUGCAUGAGUAUCUCAGAGUUUGUUUUGAUUGGGCAAUCCUUUACAGAAAGAGAUUAUGAAUUCAGUUUGC
rnacentral:lncRNA from 1 species